rnacentral:rRNA from 1 species
CCUACGUGAGGCAGCAGUGGGGAAUAUUGCACAAUGGGGGAAACCCUGAUGCAGCGACGCCGCGUGAGUGAAGAAGUAAUUCGUUAUGUAAAGCUCUAUCAGCAGGGAAGAAAAUGACGGUACCUGAGUAAGAUGCCCCGGCUAACUACGUGCCAGCAGCCGCGGUAAUACGUAGGGGGCAAGCGUUAUCCGGAUUUACUGGGUGUAAAGGGAGCGUAGUCGGCAGUGCAAGUCUGGAGUGAAAGGCGGGGGCUCAACCCCCGGACUGCUCUGGAAACUGUACGGCUGGAGUGCAGGAGAGGUAAGUGGAAUGCCUAGUGUAGCGGUGAAAUGCGUAGAUAUUAGGAGGAACACCAGUGGCGAAGGCGGCUUACUGGACUGUAACUGACGUUGAGGCUCGAAAGCGUGGGGAGCAAACAGGAUUAGAUACCCGAGUAGUC